AUUUGCUUAAACCUCUUUUUGCCACCUGUCAACUUAAUAUUCCACACAAUUCUUCUUUGGGCGGCAAUAUACAUCGAUCACUUCCCAUGUUUCUCUUUGAUUGUACCGCCUUUGGCUUUUAUUGGCUUUUAUUGUACAGCCGUUUCAAAACCAAUGCUCCAUCCUCCAAUCCAUCACCAUCUUCAAUUGAAUACUAGCAAUCAAAAUCGAUGAAGGAGGAUUGGUAUCAAGAACCCUAGAUCUAUUAAUAAUUAUGUAUUCCUCUGUUUCUUCAUCGAUUUUUUUCCUUAUUUUGAUAUAUGUAAUGCGUAAUCCUACUCAUUGAUGUCCUGAACGAUUAGGGUUUUACUUUCUCUCUUGAGUCGGUUGCUGCAAGAUGCUGGAGACGCUGCCAAGAAGAAGAACUAAACCUGAGAGAGUUUGCUGUAUUUUUCAAAAUCAUGUUAGCAUCCUUUUUUAUUUAUCUGGUGUUCAACUUCUUGACGCGUCUUUUCAAGUUUGAUCGAUUAUUACCUUCAUGAGAUAAACUGAGUUUUGUUUAGAACUUGAUAUAGCAAGGGUAAUUUUUUGUUGACUGCAGCUGAGUUUGUUGUUCAUUUUUGAGUGUUUGAUUCCAUCAUUUUAAGUAGCUUAAUUACACUACCAGUUAUCACUUUGGUGAUUUUAUUGGUAAAAGUGGUAAAGUUACUUGGUAUUUGCAAUUUGAUUAUUGUUGAGUGAGUAGUGUUGCACCUGUUGUGUUAGCUAUUCCUCUUCAUGUCUGAGUUUCUUUUUUUUGUUGAUUGUGGUUAUGAACUUAAAAUCUGUAUGAUCUGAAUUAGGGGUUUUGUUGGUUUUUCAUCUGAUUGGUUAAUUUGAUUUCCAGAUGUCAUGUUUUUAAAGGGUAGAAUAUGGUUGAAGUAAUAUCAAAUUCUGCACACCAACUGUUUGAUAGUAUGUCUAGGGCUUUUAUUAUGGUUAAUUUUGAAGCAAGUUUAGCUGCUCAUUGUGUUACAGAUCUCAGCAACUUCUAAUGAUUCUCUGAAACAAAUGAAAUUGUUUAGCAAAUCUUUCCAUGUUUUAUAAAGAAGGACAAAGAAUGAGUAGUGAUGGAAUUAGGAUAUGGGAUGCGAAGAAAGGAAAGUUUAAUAAUUUUAUUCAUGUAUUUUGUAAGAUUGUUACAGUUUUCUUCUUUACUCGAACACCAAGUUAGAUUUGAGCAUAUAUCUAACUUAUGGUUGUAUGAUGGUUCUUAGAUGAUAACAUAUUUCACCGGACCCAGUUCAAGCUUUCAUGAUUCACAAAAUAUGACUAGCAUGAUUAGACUAUGAGUUGAAUUCAUGUCGGUGACCGGUGAUUCGAUCAUAUAAAGCCUAAACACGAUCAGUUUCAGGUAUAAAAUUGUUUUUGUUGAGAGUGAGAGAGUCCAUAUCAUUAUAGUGAUAGAAGAUGGCCUCACUUUGUCGUUUGGUUGGAGUAAACAUGGCAGCUUGGUACAGGCUCAAUGAAAAAUGGUGAGUAAAGAUGAACAAAGGAAAAAAAGAUGCCCGAAGAAAUGGGAGAUAAAGUGAAAUCCGUGGUGUGUGGAAUAUAUGUCGUUAAACUUGGAAAGGUUCAUUUUUGGUUAAUUUCGGUUAAUUUGUUUGGUUGUUUUGACAAGCGCCGCAACGUGCACGGGUUUGGAUUUACUUGUGUACUUAAAUCUUUUUUUAGUCAAUAUUUUUGUACUUAAAUCAACAACAUUAUUUUACCCAUUAAUAGAGCUCUAUCUCAAUUAGAUUCUCCUAAUA